AGGAUGAACGCUGGCGGCGUGCCUAACACAUGCAAGUCGAACGUCCUGUCUCGCAAGAGGCAGGGAGUGGCGGACGGGUGAGUACCACGUGGGUCAUCUACCGUGAGGUGAGGAAUACCGGCGAGAAAUCGCCGACAAGACCGCAUAGCCUCGGUGCAAGCCGAGGAAAGCUCUUUCGAGAGAGGGAGCGCCACACGAGGAGCCUGCGCCCGAUUAGCUAGCUGGUGGAGUAACGGUUCACCAGGGCGACGAUCGGUAGCUGGUCUGAGAGGACGAUCAGCCACACUGGGAUUGAGAACGGCCCAGACUCCUACGGGGGGCAGCAGUGAGGAAUUUUCGUCAAUGGGGGCAACCCUGAACGAGCAACGCCGCGUGCAGGAAGAAGGUUUUCGGAUCGUAAACUGCUUUUCUCGGGGAAGAGAACGGACGGUACCCGAGGAAUCAGCCCCGGCUAACUACGUGCCAGCAGCCGCGGUAA
rnacentral:rRNA from 1 species